AUAAAGGAUGUUGAGGGGCUGCGCCCAAGAGAAGAGGUGAAAGAAGAGCUAAGAUGGGAGAUGAGGAUCUAACGCAAGCUCUACUUGGGCACCACUUGAGAAUACACGGUUGAUGUAGCUGCUACCCAGACCAGGUGAGGAUCCCUGACAGUCAAGUGCAGUCUUCAGUUAUCUAAGAUCACGUCUGGCCUUUCAGGUUUCCUCAGGAAAGAGUCGGGGAACACAAGGACAAGUGAGUGGAGACAAAGACAUUGAGAAGAUGCUCUGUGACUUGAAGAAGAAGGAAAUAGGGAAGCCCAAUUGUGGUAUAUGAAUAAGAAUGGAUCCUGUGGGUUCAUAGACUUGAAUAUUUGAUUAUUAGGGAGUGGCACUGCUUGAGAGGGAUUAGGAAGUGUGGCCUUGUGGGAGUAGAUGUGACUUUGUUGAAGGAAGUAUGUCACUUGUUGAAGGAUAGGCUUUGGGGUUUCAAAUGGUGCUAAACCACCUAUGAUCAGGAGACCCCAGCAAUGAAGGGAGAUCAGGCGAAGAGCAAAAUGGACCAGGAUUCAGCUAAUCCAGCCUGAUGGAGUCACCUCAGCCUCACCUGCAGUAUGUGCU
rnacentral:lncRNA from 1 species